rnacentral:rRNA from 1 species
AAAGGAAUUGACGGGGGCCCGCACAAGCAGUGGAGUAUGUGGUUUAAUUCGAAGCAACGCGAAGAACCUUACCGGGGCUUGACAUGGGGACGACAGGCAUAGAGAUAUGCUCUUCUUCGGACGUCCCACACAGGUGGUGCAUGGUUGUCGUCAGCUCGUGUCGUGAGAUGUUGGGUUAAGUCCCGCAACGAGCGCAACCCUUAUCAUUAGUUGCUACAUUAGGUUGAGCACUCUAAUGAGACUGCCGUUUUAAAGCGGAGGAAGGUGGGGAUGACGUCAAAUCAUCAUGCCCUUUAUGUCCCGGGCUACACACGUACUACAAUGGCAUUUAACAAUGGGUAGCCAACCCGCGAGGGGGAGCCAAUCCCCAAAAAGUGCCUCAGUUCAGAUUGCAGGCUGCAACUCGCCUGCAUGAAGUCGGAAUUGCUAGUAAUCGCGAAUCAGCAUGUCGCGGUGAAUACGUUCCCGGGCCUUGUACACACCGCCCGU